ACUCAACUGUUUAGGAGGUCACUCUACUCUCUACUGUUCACAUGUCACAUAAAANAAUGUUGUCAUUCAUCUAAAACAAUCAAAAUCUUUCACAUGCAAAUGUCAUCACAAGGACUUUUUCCAAGGCUUGUAUUGUGGCUGGGCUAACAAAAAAAUUGGUUUUUUUGGAAUACAAAAUCCUUGAGUUAAGAGAGUUUAAAUCAUCAUUCAAAGUUCAAGCACACUCUCUUUUUGACCAUUCUCACUCAUUCUCAACUUUUCCCUUUUUCAUUUUACAUUGAGUUCUUUUUUUACAUGCAUAAACUCUUUUCUUCUUUUCUUUUCUUUUCACAUGCAUUUUUCUUUUUCAUUCUUUUGAACUCAAUGCUUUUCUUUUUCUUUUGCCUUUCAGUUUCCCCAUUCAACCCCAAACUUGAACCUUUUCAAGACAUAUAAUUAUUCUCAACC
rnacentral:lncRNA from 1 species